AUUGAACGCUGGCGGCAUGCCUUACACAUGCAAGUCGAACGGUAACAGGUCUUCGGAUGCUGACGAGUGGCGAACGGGUGAGUAAUACAUCGGAACGUGCCUAGUAGUGGGGGAUAACUACUCGAAAGAGUAGCUAAUACCGCAUGAGAUCUACGGAUGAAAGCAGGGGACCUUCGGGCCUUGUGCUACUAGAGCGGCUGAUGGCAGAUUAGGUAGUUGGUGGGGUAAAGGCUUACCAAGCCUGCGAUCUGUAGCUGGUCUGAGAGGACGACCAGCCACACUGGGACUGAGACACGGCCCAGACUCCUACGGGAGGCAGCAGUGGGGAAUUUUGGACAAUGGGCGAAAGCCUGAUCCAGCAAUGCCGCGUGCAGGAUGAAGGCCCUCAGGUUGUAAACUGCUUUUGUACGGAACGAAAAGCCUGGGGCUAAUAUCCUCGGGUCAUGACGGUACCGUAAGAAUAAGCACCGGCUAACUACGUGCCAGCCGCCGCGGUAAAAC
rnacentral:rRNA from 1 species